rnacentral:rRNA from 1 species
UUCGUAGGUGGCCAACUAAGUCAGACGUGAAAUCCCUCAGCUUAACUGGGGAACUGCGUCUGAGACUGGAUGGCUUGAGUGCAGGAGAGGAACGCGGAAUUCCAGGUGUAGCGGUGAGAUGCGUAGAUAUCUGGAGGAACACCGGUGGCGAAGGCGGCGUUCUGGACUGCAACUGACACUGAGGAACGAAAGCCAGGGGAGCAAACG